CAAAAGCUGUUGGGUUUGGCUGGG
rnacentral:miRNA from 1 species